GGGCUCUGACAAGCACAAUUUACAUUGAGCUCGCCUCGCGCUGCUAUUUACUUUGAAACCUGAUUAGCCUACGGGCCGUCUAUUGUCACAAAAACAGGAAGAAACCCUGGAUAGAAUAGCCGAAAAGAUGGGUGAAAGAGGGGACAAAGCUUUGCGCACGUGAAAUAAACAAACGUGCGCGGCGAAAGGGACUCGCAUAGAAGGACUCGCAUAGAAUUCCCCAAAGUUUGAAAUGGUGCUGUGUUCCUGAAAAAGAUUCCAAACACAACAGCUGCUGCUUCUUUUCUUUAGAUUGAGCAAAGUCCUUCAAGGGAGUGAGCGACUGUGCAAACUGAUCGUGCCAUACUGAAAGGAACGUCAUGGCAAGUCCCCAUCCUUUGGAAUAAAGAGCAUCACCUUGUCACGCAGUCAGAAUCGACAGAGGGUUGUGAUGUCAUGUGUAAAACAAAUGUCUCUGUUUAUAUAAGCUCAGUCGCAGCAGCAGCCGUGACAUCGUGACGUCAGCCCCGUAGCACAAGGUGCGGCUCACACAACGGCCACGACCUGGAAUAAUUUGACCGUUGACAUCCGAAUAAUGUAGUCUUCAGAAGUAUUAAUAAUCACUCCAAAGAAAAUACUGAUUAUCAAAACUCCCAGCUUAGGUAGAUACUCCCUAUGCAUUUGUCUACAAGGUAAAGGGUUGCUAUUAUGCCUGUGUCAGUAGGUUAAAGGCAAGACAGACCAACACGAAUGUCGGCUGUGCACAGAGGACCGCCUACUGGACGACGACAGAACGGUUGCGACUCAACGUGUAGAAUCGCUGGGAAAUGAUCUGAAAAUCACGGCCAGUGUACUGUUGUCAGCGGUGGUGUGACGUCCAACCGCUGCGCACCUGCGGUGCACGGCCGACGUUCCUGUUGGUCUGUCUUGGCAUUACGACUAUAUAUGAGCUUCGCCAGUGUCCGUAGCUGAAGGUAUCUACUGUCAGAGAUGAUCAACAUGCCUGUGUCAGAGAUGAUCAACAUGCAUGUGUCAGAGAUGAUCAACAUGCCUGUGUCAGAGAUGAUCAACAUGCCUGUGCUUGUGUCCUCACUGCCCUGGCCCUGGAACCAGAGGACAUAUUUACAGGGUGUACUAACCUUAACGACACACUGCUCUCCUCUCCACCCCACUCAGAUAACCUUAAUCCCUUCUAUCCAGCAGCCCACACAGCUCUGAGGGCCAACGGAAACAGAAUCAAUGCUUUAUGAAUAUGUAUAUAAUGUAUAAUGACAUUCUCAAGUCCAAGUGUAUUUGUGAUGCCAUUCGUGUUUGAUUGUCAACGUUCUUAUUGUCAUAUUCAGAAGCUAAGGUGAAGCUAGCUAUAUCAUGCUACGCUGGGCAAAAAGGUUUUGGACGUACGUGAUCAAGUGCCUUUCCUUUACUAGUCGUUUAAUUUAUGUAUGUGGAUUCUGUGUGUGUGUGAGAGACCACAUGGCAAGUUUACCUCAGAUGACCCCGCUGACAUGAGGCGUCCGAGCUGAAUUCAAGCCGUGACAAAUGGGUUCUGGGCCUGAACAGCAGACAUUCCACAGCAUGUUCCUCUUCAGCAACUCCUCCUCUCCUUCCUCUCCUUAUCCCUUCCUACACUUCUCCUCGAAACACCUAUCUCUUCAAAGGUUGUAAGAAUGCAUUUAUCAAUCAAACAUAAACCUGUUGUAUGUAUUGGAAGAGGUUGUGGGAAUCACCCUGAACAUGAACUUCCGAGGAAGGCAAGCCUUUACAGAGCUAUUUGAAUGCAAUGCUCUACAAAGCUCUGGCGUAUUUGCAGAUGAAUAAAGGAAAAAGAGACUGGUGUUAGUAGAAAAAGAGAAGUCAACUCCUUGGAUGUUAGUAUCGUAAACCUUUCUUGAUCAGUGAUGUGGAGGUUGAGAGAAAAUAUAGCGCUGUGUUUAAACAGGAUGUGUAGGUUGUAGCAUCCUAUCCUACUCCCCCUGCAAUAUCCCCCCAUUUCUUUAGCCCUCCCUCCCUCCCUCCCUCCC